UAAUCAUACAAAAAGGAAAAGGAAA
rnacentral:rRNA from 1 species